AGCAGACACUGCCCUGUCCGAAGACAACCGGCUUCCUAAGAAUCCAUCAGCGCUGGGCCGCUGAAGUGGCCCAGUUGAAGCCCGUUGGGUAACAGCGCAUGACGGGUACAGGGGGUUCACGGCCACUUCCCACUCCUCACCAGCAGCUGCGUCACAACGCCCCACGCUUUGCCAUUAACAGACAAUCGCGCACACAAACGUGCGCAUGUUCAGACGACGGAGUGAAAAAUUGAGAAGGGAGAAAGGAUUAAAACCAGCUUGGAGUGCAAAUUGAAUUAGCCCUUUCGGAUGUGUCAGGCAUAAAUCAUCGCACGGAGGAUGAGAACCAGCCGCCUGCAGCUCCUCGAGUCACUCGGGGACCAGCAGGCUGUAUGUUGAUGUACAACAACGACCGAUGGACAUGGGCGGCGGCCAAUUAGAGACUGGCCUGAGGACACUGGAUCCCUCACCUCACCGUGACCUCACCCCGGCCGUAACCCUGACCUUCAUCCCACCUCCAACCUCUGAGUUUAACCCCAACACCGAGUCUCAGCCUGGCGCGCACCCUUCAGACCGAUGCCCCGUGCCUCCGAGGCACAUCUGCUUCGGGAUCCGCCGAAGAAACACCACGAAAUCUGACUCCCACGUGAAAUCCGCUCAUUUUCUCAGUGAUCCACUGCCGUGAGACAAAUGUUGAUGCUUCGUCACUGAAGCCAAAGAGGCAGCGUGGCUGCGCGGAGCCCCUCCCAGAGCACUGACGCUGGGCUGCGAUGUGUUGGUUCAUGCCUUCAGAAAAAGACAAAAAUUGGGACUGAACGGAUAAGGUAUAUUAUUAGUGUGUUUAUUAGGGCAGUUUUCAUAGUAAAUUAA